rnacentral:rRNA from 1 species
UACGGAGGAUGCGAGCGUUAUCCGGAUUUAUUGGGUUUAAAGGGUGCGUAGGCGGGAUGCCAAGUCAGCGGUAAAAAUGCGGUGCUCAACGCCGUCGAGCCGUUGAAACUGGCGUUCUUGAGUGGGCGAGAAGUAUGCGGAAUGCGUGGUGUAGCGGUGAAAUGCAUAGAUAUCACGCAGAACUCCGAUUGCGAAGGCAGCAUACCGGCGCCCUACAGACGCUGAGGCACGAAAGCGUGGGUAUCGAACAGG